rnacentral:rRNA from 1 species
CCUACGGGAGGCAGCAGUGGGGAAUUUUGGACAAUGGGCGCAAGCCUGAUCCAGCCAUGCCGCGUGAGUGAAGAAGGCCUUCGGGUUGUAAAGCUCUUUCAGCUGGAAAGAAAUCGUACUUAUUAAUACCGGGUGAGAAUGACGGUACCUGCAGAAGAAGCACCGGCUAACUCCGUGCCAGCAGCCGCGGUAAU